UCGGUUUGGCAGUUUCUGAUGGUUCCAACCUAGAUGUGGUUCUAGCCUAGAAAUGAGUUANNNNNNNNNNGGGUUCGUGAUCCAAAGAAGUUUCGGUCUGGCAGUUUUCUGAUGGUUCCAACAUAGAUGUGGUUCUAGCCUAGAAAUGAGUUAAUUGCUCAACCUCGUGGUAGCACUACUUGUGGAAGAGGUGGCUGGGCUAGUAUGGCCUAGGUGGUCGUGGAGGGAAAAGUGGGCAUGACCCGACCCGAUGUAUGAGAAAAAUGAUUUUGACCUUGUGAAUGAAAAUACAGGUACUUGCAAUGUCAAUGCAAACAAUGCUAGUUAAGGGGAUUCUGGUACGUAGCCAACCCAACCUAGUCAAGGACCCUCCCUAGGAGCUAGGGGAAAGGAAGUGCAUGUAUCUUAUAGAAUACCAU
rnacentral:lncRNA from 1 species